CGCUGAUCUUAGAGAAUUUUCCCCAAAAUUUGAAUACUGAUUUAGAUAUGAUUGAAAUCAGUUUUCCAGAAUCCUCGGUUAUCUAAAGUUUUAGGCUAUCAUGAAACCAAGUUGAAAUUACUUCUUGGCAAAUCUCCAUAUCUUUUUAUCUCUAAUAGGCCACACAUUAUCCUAUUUUGUGUGGUUAUUGGGUUCUUACUAUUGUCUGUUUUUGCCUUCCUGCCAUCCUCUCUACCUUUGGCCUCUUGGUUCUCCUCUUCCUAACAGUUCAUGACCAGCUCCCCUCCUUUCUCUGUUCCCUGCCUCUAAGAGUCCGCAUGCCCAAGGGCUUUGUCCUUGAACUUGUCGCCUGUCCACAUCAACUGCCCGAGUGACCUCAUUUCUCUCAGUAACUUUCUAUAGCUUGCUGAUUCCUGGAUUUGAGCUGUGAAGCCCUGUUUGGGAGACUGAGGCUUCUUUUUAAAGUUGUGUCAAUCUUGACAUUUAACAUAAACCGCAUCGUAUAUCUGACCAGUGACUCGUUGUUCUGUGGUGUUUGAUGUUUUUCAGAAGCCCUUCUGUUGAGGUGGACACCAAGAGUGAGAAUACUUCAUCAUCCGAGGGAGCCAACGGUACCCUGCUGAUCCACAGCCCCGCAGAACUCAAAAGCGGCUGGAGGAAGCAGAAGGGGUACCUCUCCUCAUUUAGUGAUUCGUUGCUUGCGUCUAAUACCACGUAUCAAAAGAACUUUAAGAUAAAAGAUAAAACACCACUGAGAACCAUGUGAACUGCCAACCAUAUACACAAGGCUGGUGAAGCCGGCGUCGUUGCCAGAAAGUCCUUUGUCCUGGGCUGACCCCCGGUGAGCUUUGUGGCCCCCUUCAGGUGAGACCUACAGCUUGGUGUCCUGGAUCUACGUGGGUUCAAAACGAGGACAUUUUCAUCUGCUUGCAUAUUAAGCCAGUGACUCACUUCUUGACUGACCAUAAUGACACACAUGGGCUUCCCUGGUGGCUCAGUGGUCAAGAAUCUGCCUGUAAUGUAGGAGACUUGCGGAAGAUGCCCACUCAACCCCUGGGUCAGGAAGAUCCCCUGGAGGUGGAAAUGGCAACCCACUCCAGUAUUCUGCCUAGGAAAUCCCAUGGACAGAGGAGCCUGGCGGGCUACAGUCCAUGCGGUUACAGAAAGAGUCGGACACGACUGCGUGGCAUAAACAACAGCAAAUGACACACAUGCCUUGUGCUUUUCCCUCCUAAAAAGGUUCUCAUGUGCAAAUGCAUGCAUGUGGAUAGUAACAGUGGAAAUGACCGCAGUGAUUUCCUUUGGUUUUGAUCAGUGGUUUUUCAGAUGGGCUAUGUGAGCUACUUGGGAAGCCAGAUCCUCUUGUGUUCAUGGUAUCCUUGUAUGAGGAAGGAGGAUCAUGAGAGCAAGACUCUAGGACCCCUCACCAAUAUCCUGCCCUCAAUCCCGAUUAUCUUUCUUGAAAAAGUACAAUUAUAUUUGAAAAACUGACUUUAUACUCCCAAAUUAAUUCCCUUUAAAAUGGGAUUUAAUUAUACACAUAACAUUAAUUGUGUCAUCAAAUACUAGGUUGCCUGAAUUGCUGUGUACAAAUAAUCUUAUUUGGUGUGUGUAGAAGGGUGACAGUAAAACACAGCUACGAUUCCAUGGAGCACAGGUCAGUUUUCCAAUUACAUUCUUAGACUGGAGUGAGGACGGGGAAUGUGAAUAUCCCAAGUUGACAGUCCCGGGUUCACCAGCGUCAUGAAACAUUCACCGCUGCCACUUGGAACAACCACACCCCGUAUCUCAGUCUUGUGCACACACCAGGCCCUCAUCACACGCACGUGACACACUUUCUUGUCCUCCUCACCUGACACCAAAAUCUCUUGUCUCAUCACAGAGCUAAGACAACUAAAAUACUGCCGAGUGGUAAAUUGACUAAAUGCUAGAAUUCAGCUGUUGACUUAAUGAAAACUUUGAAAGCUUUUGGGGAAGAAAUAUGUAUUUGUAUCAUUCUCUGUAUGUCUCCUUUCCAUGACUUAUUUCUCUAAAGAUCCAGUUCCUAUUGCUUAAACAUCUUUUCCAUGUUUUAAGUGAAUGGAAGCAGUUUCAUUUGGGAAUGUGCAGUUUCUGAUAAGGGAGUGUCCAAGAAACUUUUUUCCUAGUGAGGCUAGAAAGGAGGAAGCCAGGUUUACACCUGUUAUUUAGGUUUAAAAGCUGUGUGAGAACAUACAUGGCAUUCAUAACAAUGCCUGACACCUAGUGCUUUGGCCAUUUGCUCUUUUACUCUUCUGCAGGUUGCCAUGAGUAAUUAGAAGCUGUGUUCGGGUAUAUAUGCAGGUUGGGAGCUCAGAGGGCACUCUACUUCCUGGUGAAACAGUUCUUGAAAAGGGGAUGAGGGGUAGGAGCAGUGUUUUGGUAGGAAUAUAAAAUGUGGCAGCCAUAGGAGAACAUACAUAUUCUGGGUAUAUAUCCAAGAGAAAUGAAAACUUACAUCCACACAAAAAACGUAUACACAAAUGCUCGUAGCUGCUUUAUCCACCACAGCCAAAAAAAAAAAAAAAAAGGAAAUAGCCUAAGUGUUUAUCAAUUAAUGAAUGUAUAAGCCAAACCUGGUAUGGGGCCUGAGGAUGGAGGAGACUGGGGUGUGACUCCUUAAUGCACACAGGGUUUGCCGUUGGGUAGUGAAAAUAUUCCAGAACUAGAUAAUGGUGAUGGUUGCACAAUAUUGUUAAUCUACAGAUGAUCACUAAUUGUCAGUUGUAUGUUAUGCAUAAUUUACCACAAUAAAUAAAAUUUAAUAAGUGAUAAGUCUGUGUAU
ensembl:lncRNA